UAGCGAAGGGGGCUAGCGUUGCUCGGAAUCACUGGGCGUAAAGGGUGCGUAGGCGGGUCUUUUAAGGUCAGGGGUGGAAAUCCUGGAGCUCAACUCCAGAACUGCUUUGAUACUGAAGAUCUUGAGUUCGGGAGAGGUGAGUGGAACUGCGAGUGUAGAGGUGAAAUUCGUAGAUAUUCGCAAGAACACCAGUGGCUGGAAGGCG
rnacentral:rRNA from 1 species